UGUAGGACAAGAAAAAAGGCAACAGACUUUUAAGAGAGCAUUACAGGCAUGUCAAUGAUCUGGGAUUAAACUCUGUAUUUGAUUUUAGGAUUGACUGGUGCACAAAUGAGUGCUUCAGUCUAACCUUGUUAAAUCCUAACUUCUAAACACAC